rnacentral:rRNA from 1 species
AUUGAACGCUGGCGGCAGGCCUAACACAUGCAAGUCGAACGAGUGGCGGACGGGUGAGUAAUGUCUGGGAAACUGCCCGAUGGAGGGGGAUAACUACUGGAAACGGUAGCUAAUACCGCAUACUGAUGGAUGAACCCGCGGUGCAUUAGCUAGUUGGUGAGGUAACGGCUCACCAAGGCCACGAUGCAUAGCCGACCUGAGAGGGUGAUCGGCCACACUGGGACUGAGACACGGUCCAGACUCCUACGGGAGGCAGCAGUGGGGAAUAUUGCACAAUGGGCGCAAGCCUGAUGCAGCCAUGCCGCGUGUAUGAAGAAGGCCUUCGGGUUGUAAAGUACUUUCAGCGAGGAGGCGUUACUCGCAGAAGAAGCACCGGCUAGCUCCGUGCCAGCAGCCGCGGUAAUAC